rnacentral:rRNA from 1 species
CGGCGGACGGGUGAGUAACGCGUGGGUAACCUGCCUCAUACAGGGGGAUAACAGUUGGAAACGGCUGCUAAUACCGCAUAAGCGCACAGUACCGCAUGGUACGGUGUGAAAAACUCCGGUGGUAUGAGAUGGACCCGCGUCUGGUUAGGUAGUUGGUGGGGUAACGGCCUACCAAGCCGACGAUCAGUAGCCGACCUGAGAGGGUGACCGGCCACAUUGGAACUGAGACACGGUCCAA